AUUAGAAGAGUUAAAUAUUGAUAUGAGUUAUGAUGACAAGCGGUGGAAUGCAUCAGCAGAAGCUGUUGUUUCUGAGAUUUGUAAAUUGGAGAGUUUGCAUACGCUUAAAGUCUACUUUCCCAAGGUGAAACUUUUGAGCCAUUUAGACUGGAAUGAAGAAAAUAUGGCGUUUCCAUCAUUGUCGUACUUUAAAUUCACAGUUGGUCAUCUUGUUGAGCGUAUCAUAUCUCGAGUCUCAGGUGAUACAGAAUUGGAGCUUGAACGACACGAUAGGUACUUGAAGUACGUAAAUGGUGAAGGUGUUCCUGGAGAUAUUAAGAAGGUGCUUAGACAUUCAACUGCAUUUUUCUUGGACCGCAACUCGACUAUUAGUAGGUUAUCUGAUUUUGGCUACAGAAAUAUGCAGCAAUUAAAAUGUCUUGUAGCAGGGCAAUGCAACGAACUUCAAGCAAUUAUUGGUGGAGAUCAAAUUGAGUCAUCAUCUAGUGAUGCAACGGUUGGUCUUGUUUCACUAGAAUACAUGCACAUAUAUUACAUGAAGAAUCUAAGGAGCAUAUGGGAAGGUCCUGUGAAUGACUCUAGCUUCAAUUCAUUGAAGUACUUGACCUUG
rnacentral:misc_RNA from 1 species